ACAUAAUUCAGUUUAUACGGCUUCCCAUAUUCCAAUGGUUGUAUUUUGCUAAAUUGCCAUCUACUUACUGGAAUUCUCACAAAUAGAAGUGCAGUCAGAAGGUAAAAAGGAUGGUAUGGUAUGUCUCCAUUCACAUGGUACUGAACUGUUAGUGAUUCUUUAUGUUAUUCUGCAGAGUUGAAUUUAGUUUAUAUGGUUUUCUUUUUCUGUUCAUAGACGAGAGUAUAGUCUGAAGGGAAAAAUUGGUAUGCUCUAAAGGGUGUGCAAGAACAGUGAGAUUUAUAUUACCGAAUGUAUUGUUAACAAUUUGUUAUUUUGCAGACUUGCUCUCAGUUUUUAUUCUUGGCAGGUGAUUCUUCAUGAUAAUUUUUUGUAGAGGAACAUUUUUGCGAUGGGGCCGGGAACGGUGAUCGGUGGUGCUGGUGUCGGCAGUGCGGUACAAGGUCAGGAUGUGGGACGGGACGGCCAUCCGUGUGAGGCAGUCGGCGGCGAGGGUUUGUGGCAUCACGAGGAGCGCCCGCGGAUUCAAGGUGUUGGCCCGAGACCUCUGACGAGGGAGGAGACGAUGUUAGUAUUUCCAGAGGAAAGAAACAAGAGAAGAAGAACAAGAACAACAACGGCAAUCUCGGGUUCCAGGUACGAUGGAGCCGGCGGCGAAGCGCAUGGCGCUCGCAAACGUGAUAGUGGAUGACGACGAUACCCUCAACUGCGGCAUCUGCUACCUCCCUCCCAAGCCACCAGUCUUCCAGUGUGGCGUCGGUCAUACCAUAUCCUCGCGGUACCGCGACAAGAUGGUGGCGGCAAGCAGGUGCCGUGUGUGUCACAUCCGGUUGACCGGCGGCUAUCACUGGAACAUCGCACUGGAGAGGCUAACAGAGUCCAUCCGGGUGCCGUGCGCCAACACCGCCCACGGCUGCACUGCCACGCCGGCCUACUACGACCACCCCGACCACCUCAAGGCGUGCCCUCACGAUGCCGUGCUAUUGCCCGCAGGCAGACUGCGGUUUCGCUAGCUCCACGGAGGCACUCCUGGACCACUUUGCCCACACGCACGGGUGGCCGUGCAUGACCGAGCUUGGGCCUGGGCGUGCGUCGAGGUCCAGCUCUGUGACGGCUUCAACGCCUUCUCAGCCCGUGCCCAAUGCCGGCAGUACCUGUUCCUGCUGAACGUGGCGUUGAACCCGUUUGGCCGAGCGGUCUGCGUGCUCUCCCUGCAUCCUCGGGCGUUGUCGGCGGCGCCAUGUUCUUUGGAGUUCGAGAACUCAGAUUUAUGACAAGGACACAAGCAAAUUUAUAGCAUCCGUUGUGAUGAUACAAGGGAAGUAAGCAUAGAUGCGCUUAACGUGAUGAUAGAUGGGAGAGCUCGGCCUAUGCUGCCAACUGAUCUGCAGCGGUGCAGAAGGAGAUUUCAAAAGCAGGGCAAGCGAGAGCGACUGUUCUAUUGAUGGUCAAAGGGAGGGCUUGGCAAGAGAGAUUGAGGGAGCUCUACUACCUCGAUCUUGGCAUAGAACCUGAUGGCAUCAUGCCCAGGAAACUUCCUUCUUCAGUAUGUAUGGGGAUUUAUAUGACACCAAAAGAGAAGUCCGGCGUGUUUCUUGGUUCUAUGGAACCCCUCGACCGGAAGCAAAUAGAUCACAUCGCAAGUUGCUUGCCCAAUAUAAUCGUGCCGCAAGUUACCAACAUCGCGUGCUUAUACACCAUCGACUUUGCUGGAAAUCUAUCUGUCCGUGCUCCACCGUCUGUCGGAACUUCUUCUGCCCAUGCUACACCUGAGGUACAUACUACAGUCUCAUCAAUUAAUAAUACCCAAUUGCUUGUCUGUUG